AGUAUUUGUCACCUGGAUGAAAUCUUUUUUCCCCUUCCUACCAUCACUUCACGUUAAAGACAAUGUUCAAAAUGUUUUCUGAAUGUUUUACUUUAAAAAGAAAUAGGGCUUCAUGAUGAUGAGUAAACACUGAUUCUGUCAUCUUCCUGGGGAUACAUACUGGUCUAGAUCAUGGAUGUGGAUGACAUGCUCUGUGCUCACUGACAUUUAAAGGAGAAACUCUCCAGGAGACAUCGGACAGAAAGGAAAACUUCAGCUCAGAGUUGCUCACCUGAAUUGGGGUAAUCCUGCUUCUGCUCACAGUGCCUGUCACCUCCCUUUGCACAAACUCAGAUUCUCACUCAUCCCAGGUGCACAUUAAACAGCCAAACUAGAACACCUAAGUUGACUAAGCAAAGAAAACUUUAAGGAGCAAACUGGGAUAUUCAGAGAAGGCUGAGCAUCCACCAUUGUUUUCUGAAGUCCUGCUAUCUUAAUAUGAAUUAGGGCUUUUUUCUGUUGUUUACAGGUAUGUGGCAUGGUUUGAUGGAGAAAUGUGUGUUGCAUUAAUAACUAAUUAUUUAAAAUCAUGGCUAACUUCAGAUGCACUGUUUAAAAAAAAUAUGAACAUUUCUAGCUUGCUAUUCCUAGAUUAUCCUUGCCUCCUGCUAUGGGGCUUUGUGUAUUCCAUGGAAGAAGAAUAAGAAAUGCUAUGAAAUCUCUCAAACUCCUGUAAAGGGACGUUCUCAGAAGCCAGCAAGUUGCUGUAAACUUGCAGUAUGUGUAUAACGACCUUGUUCCAGAGGUGUAAGAGCCAUUCGUAUACGUGGCUAAUGUAUUUUGAAAAAUAGUCAAAUCUAAGGCCAGAGGGACGACUUACAUAUUACUGAUUACUGCAUUCUUAAGAAGAUUUAAGGCUGGUAUGCUGUACUCACAUGGACUGCUUAGAGUAUUCCUUUCAGCAUCCUUUUGUUGUAUGGCCUUUUGAGAAGAUACAUCUUGGCCCACCAAGAUAUACCCAUGGAAAUCUGGCAAGGUUGCAAUACUAUGCUCGAAGUCCAUUUUACGAGGUCACAGCAACAAGUGUUGGGCAGGAGCUGCAUGGAAGUAGAAAAAUGUUUCAUCACAAUGCCUGCACUCUGAAAUCUUAUAUGGAAGGUAUUGCUGUAGUCGUUCCUUUUUAUGUAUGACUUCUAAGUAAAAGGAAGGAAAGAUGCUAUCUCAUUAAAAGUAUUCAAGUGUGACUAAAUCUUGGUCUUCUGGGGCUGUAGGAACGCAUUCUUUCGUAACUUAUCAUUGUAGAAAAUACAAAUGGAUGCUUAGAUUGUGGGUUGUGAUUCGGUUACUGCUAAAACUAUGCAUCUCUCACUUUCAUGCCCAGUCUAUUUUGCUGUAUUUUUCAUUUUAAUUAUGUAUGUUUCUAGUCAGAGUUGUGUUUACCUUCUAUGUCGACCUGUUGCAUUUGCACCUGGUUCUUAGGAGACACACACUGACAUCAGGUAUCACUUCUAACGUUCUUAAUGCUGACCUAUAAAAGAUGAUGACUGACCUUCCCCUGUAUUGCAAAUGUCUUUGAUUUCUUAUUACUAUUUAUGUUCUAAUACUUACAGAUGAAUUUUGAAAGCAUGUGUUAAUUUUUAUUUUUUUUAAAUCUUCAGGUUUGAACCAGACUGGACUUGCACAAAAUCUGAGAUUUCUUUGUCCCUACCACACCUCCCACUAAUUGCAGUCCUAAUUACAUAUAAUCUGGAGUGGCGUAGAAUGCAUUUAAGGUUUUGAUGCUGAUUUUUCCAUUCAUUUGUAGUUGAAUAUGUUAAUGUAGUUUAACCAUGUCAGAAUUUUUCUUACUGUAAAAGUGACUUGUCAUGAAAAACCUGAUGAAAGAUGAUUUCUUCAUCUCAUAUUUUAAUGUGUAGAGCUACUUUAUUUUCUGCACGCUGUAUAGAAAUUGUGCAGGUAUCCUGGAGGAUUGAAAAAAGAAAAAUGACAGAAUUUGUAGGUUUUUCCAGUUAAAAGACAGCAUAAAAGAGAAAUAAAUUUUCAUCCCCUUAAUUCUUUCCCCUUUAUUUUAAUAGGGGAAAAAAAGAAACUUACGUAAAAUUAUUAGUAAGUUUUUGGUGAAAUAAAUACACAUUAAAUAUUAAACGAAUGAAACUUGCUUCUUUGCUGUACGAUGCAAAGAACAUAAAACCGUUCUUAAAAAAAUCCACCUACUUAAAUUGCAAGCUUUGAAAUGCUCGUGUUUUUAGUAGUGCUAUUUAUGAAGAGGUCCAGGUACAGCUGCAAUAUAAGGUAUAAGCACUACUAGAAUUUGGGUUUUGCAAAUUGUAUUUGUACAUAAUGCUGUUGGAGCUGGAGCAUUGAGGAGUGUUACACAAGCUUAGGAAUAAAAGUUGAUCCUGUGAAGCUUCUUAUACAAGAAAGUAUAAUAAAUAAAGCAGUGAGUCAGAGCUUUUUCCAAGUUCAAAAUGAGGGAUGUUGGACAAAUUUCCCUAGUUACUCCUGAUUCAUUUAGGCAAGCCUGAAGCAUUGCAGUUUCCUAUCAGAAUUCUCUUCAAAGCUGUUCAUGCCUCACAGGAAAGCGUGUUCCUACCAAUGUCAAUGGGAAAUUUUCUGAACUUUAUCCAAAUCUUUAAACCCAUCCUCACUUAGGAUAAUGACCAGUCCAAGGUAUUGCAGCUUAUUUGCGGAAGAAAGCAAAAAUCCCCCAAAUGGACCAAGCCUGAAUAUCUUCAACAUCUUUGCCUGGAAGGAAAAUUCCCUCAUGUUGCUAAGGCUCACAAAGCGCUGAAUCUCAAGCACAAGAACAGAGUGCACAGCACGGGCGGCUGAGACCCUGACCCAAGCAGCGCUGGCAGUCGUGCCCAGCUCAAGGGAACAAGUCUGCGGAAGCUCCCCGACUGUUCAAGCUUGCAAGAAAAAGGGGGGAAAAUAAGAAUUACAGAAACCAAUUUUGUGUCAAGGGAAGGAAAGGAAAAAAGAAAAUCUCAUGUGGCAGAGCUGAAGAUCAGGGUUAGCAGAACGUGAAUGAAGUGCAAAGGGCUGGCUGGGCUGCUUGGAGCUUCCUGGAGACACCGCUGCAGGAACACAAACUGCCUUUGGUCUUCAGGGGUUCUCAUAUUUGUUAUCAACUCCUGUCUCCAAAUGCAUGAUGUUCAGUCUUGAAACAAAUCAGAUAAUCUUCGAGUUAAUCUACAGACAGGUUAAUUUUUUCUAGGAGUAUUAAUUAUAAGAGUUUAAAGUCAAAACCUUUGUUAAAUGUGCUGUUUAUAUCCAAUAAAAUUUGGUGGUAUCUGC